GUGGGGAAUCUUAGACAAUGGGGGAAACCCUGAUCUAGCCAUGCCGCGUGAGCGAUGAAGGCCUUAGGGUUGUAAAGCUCUUUCAGCUGGGAAGAUAAUGACGGUACCAGCAGAAGAAGCCCCGGCUAACUCCGUGCCAGCAGCCGCGGUAAUACGGAGGGGGCUAGCGUUGUUCGGAAUUACUGGGCGUAAAGCGCACGUAGGCGGAUCAGAAAGUCAGAGGUGAAAUCCCAGGGCUCAACCUUGGAACUGCCUUUGAAACUCCUGAUCUUGAGGUCGAGAGAGGUGAGUGGAAUUCCGAGUGUAGAGGUGAAAUUCGUAGAUAUUCGGAGGAACACCAGUGGCGAAGGCGGCUCACUGGCUCGAUACUGACGCUGAGGUGCGAAAGCGUGGGGAGCAAACAGGAUUAGAAACCCGUGUAGUCC
rnacentral:rRNA from 1 species